rnacentral:rRNA from 1 species
UUGGAGGGCAAGUCUGGUGCCAGCAGCCGCGGUAAUUCCAGCUCCAAUAGCGUAUAUUAAAGUUGUUGCAGUUAAAAAGCUCGUAGUUGAAUUUCGGGAUCAAUAUGCCGGUCAUGCCUUGGUAUGCACUGGUAUCUUUGAUUUCUCCCUUCUGACGAACUUUGAUGUCAUUAAUUUGGUGUCAUAGGGAAUCAGGACUGUUACUUUGAAAAAAUUAGAGUGUUUAAAGCAAGCUCACGCUUGAAUACAUUAGCAUGGAAUAAUGAAAUAGGACGUUUGAUUCUAUUUUGUUGGUUUCUAGGAUCGACGUAAUGAUUAAUAGGGAUAGUUGGGGGCAUUAGUAUUCAAUUGUCAGAGGUGAAAUUCUUGGAUUUAUUGAAGACUAACUACUGCGAAAGCAUUUGCCAAGGAUGUUUUCAUUAAUCAAGAACGAAAGUUAGGGGAUCGAAGACGAUCAGAUACCGUCGUAGUCUUAACCAUAAACUAUGCCGACUAGGGAUCGGACGAAGUUAAUUUUAUAAUGACGCGUUCGGCACCUUACGGGAAACCAAAGUGUUUGGGUUC